AGCUCUAAUAGCGUAUAUUAAUGUUGUUGUGGUUAAAAAGCUCGUAGUUGAAAUUCUCUGGGCAGGCUUCGGUCCCUAUUGCUAGGGUACUGAAGCUGGUGCCCUGAAGCUGGCAUAAUACUCAGUCUAGUGCCUUUGAUCGGGUGUUAGGCUGAUUAUGCUGGUAUACCUUGAUAAAAUUAGGGUGAUCAAGGCAGGCAGUGCGGCCUGGAUAAUUGCGCAUGGAAUAUUGGAGAAGGGUCCUAUGCCAUUUUUGUUGGUUUAGCGGUGUCAGGACAAUGAUUAAAAGGGACUGCCGAGGGUAUUGCUAUUGACGGGCUAGAGGUGAAAUUCUUGGACCCCGUCAAGAGCUACUGCGGCGAAAGCAUUUACCAAGAAUGUUUUCAUUAAUCAAGAACGA
rnacentral:rRNA from 1 species